UACGGAGGGGGCGAGCGUUAUUCGGAAUUAUUGGGCGUAAAGGGCGCGUAGGCGGCCCUGCAAGUCAAAGGUGAAAUCCCUCGGCUCAACUGAGGAACUGCCUUUGAAACUGUGGGGCUUGAGGCCGGGAGGGGGUAGCGGAAUUCCCAGUGUAGCGGUGAAAUGCGUAGAUAUUGGGAGGAACACCAGUGGCGAAGGCGGCUACGUGGACCGGUACUGACGCUGAUGCGCGAAAGCGUGGGUAGCAAACAGG
rnacentral:rRNA from 1 species